rnacentral:lncRNA from 1 species
GAGUGGACUGCGGGCACCGGAGGAAGCCAAACUUUGCUGCUCGCUGCGCUUUCCCGGCCGGGCUCCUCUGCUCUUUAGCGUAGCCGCCCUCUCCCGACCCCGCACACGUCCACCCAGCCAGCCAGCUAGCCGCCCCCGGAUCUUCCUCGCCGCCUGGACUCCGCUCCGGGGAAAACUUCAAAACGCCGGAUCGAGGGCUCCCUGCCUACUUCCCGACUGGGGAUUUCAGACUAGACGCCUGAAACCAAGCUGCCAUCCAAGGAGACGACAUGCUUUCAGCAACUCCUCUGUAUGGGAACGUUCACAGCUGGAUGAACAGCGAGAGGGUCCGCAUGUGUGGAACAAGUGAAGACAGGAAAAUUCCUGUGAAUGAUGGCGAUGCUUCAAAAGCCAGGCUGGAGCUGAGGGAGGAGAAUCCCUUGAAUCACAACGUGGUGGAUACCAGUGGAGCCCAUCGGAUUGACGGCCUGGCAGCACUGAGCAUGGAUCGCACAGGCCUCAUCCGGGAAGGGCUCCGCGUCCCUGGAAACAUCGUUUAUUCUGGCUUGUGUGGAUUGGGCUCAGAAAAAGGUCGGGAGGC